AAAGUGUAAGUUAGGGUUUGACGUACCGAUUAUGGCGACUAAGAUAAUUACUAAAUCUAGGAUAUUCAUUGCGUUCUAACCGACAUGUUUGUGAUUUAAGUUUAUUUUAAUUAUGUAUAAAGCUUCAAUUAAGCCUUUUAGUGCAACAAAAGUUGCAAAAUAUAUACAUAUCAGUUUGAGGUGUCUAAAGCUAGUCUUGUAUCUAACGAGGCUGAUCCUUAAAAUUUCCAGCCAACCUUCACGAUCAUGGAGAACUUAGUAAAUCGUUUUAAAACUGCCUAAUAUGCUGUAAACGGUUUUGCAUAGAGAUGAAACAACCUGGACGCUAAAUCAAGGGAGCAAAUAAAAACUUGGCGAGAAUUCCACAACUCAGGAAAUUGAGCUGCACCGGAUAUCGUCGCACCGGAACGACGUGCGACGGAGGAAUGGCUUCCUGUCGAGCAACGAAGCAAAAAGGGUGGUGCUAUAAGUUUAAAGCAAUUGUCUGUUACCCUGUAUGUCUGACUGUAGUACUGAGAUGGUUCUCGAGUAAGUCCCUUUUUCCAUUGAGCAUUGUUGAGAUUUUCACAUAAAUUAGAUUUAUACAAUAUUUUUUAUUCUUUCUUACGUUGAACUUGAACUGACCAAAAUCCCAUCGCGCAA